CCCUUUAUGACCUGGGCUACAAACGUACUACAAUGGCCAAUACAAAGAGAUGCGAAGUUGUGAGAUGGAGCGAACCUCAAAAAAAUGGUCUCAGUUCAGAUUGAAGUCUGCAACUCGACUUCAUGAAGGCGGAAUCGCUAGUAAUCGCGGGUCAGCAGACCGCGGUGAAUACGUUCCCGGGUUUU
rnacentral:rRNA from 1 species